rnacentral:rRNA from 1 species
UACGUAGGUGGCAAGCGUUGUCCGGAUUUACUGGGCGUAAAGAGCGCGCAGGCGGUCGUUCAAGUCGCGUGUGAAAGCCCCCGGCUCAACUGGGGAGGGUCACGCGAUACUGAUCGACUCGAAGGCAGGAGAGGGUAGUGGAAUUCCCGGUGUAGUGGUGAAAUGCGUAGAUAUCGGGAGGAACACCAGUGGCGAAGGCGACUACCUGGCCUGUUCUUGACGCUGACGGCGCGAAAGCUAGGGGAGCAAACGGGGAAUUAAGA